rnacentral:rRNA from 2 species
UACGUAGGGGGCAAGCGUUAUCCGGAUUUACUGGGUGUAAAGGGAGCGCAGACGGCUUGGCAAGUCUGAAGUGAAAGCCCGGGGCUUAACCCCGGGACUGCUUUGGAAACUGUGAAGCUAGAGUGUCGGAGAGGUAAGUGGAAUUCCCAGUGUAGCGGUGAAAUGCGUAGAUAUUGGGAGGAACACCGGUGGCGAAGGCGGCUUACUGGACGAUAACUGACGUUGAGGCUCGAAGGCGUGGGGAGCAAACAGG